GGUAGUGUGGCUGAGUGAUUUAAGGCACUAGAUUUAGGCUCUGGAGGUGUGGGUUCGAACCCCACCACUGCCA